AGUCACGUGGUCUAAUGGUUAUGAUAUCUCGUUCACACCGAGAUGGUUCCCGGUUCGAUCCCGGGCGUGACUA
rnacentral:tRNA from 1 species